GAUGAACGCUAGCGGCAGGCUUAAUACAUGCAAGUCGAGGGGUAGCAAGAUUGUAGCAAUACAAUUGUUUACGACCGGCAAACGGGUGCGGAACACGUACACAACCUUCCUACAAGUGGGGAAUAGCCCCGAGAAAUUUGGAUUAAUACCCCGUAACCUAGCGAUGCGGCAUCACAUUGCUAUUAUAACUUCUGCGCUUGUUGAUGGUAGUGCGGCUGAUUAGAUAGUUGGCGGGGUAACGGCCCACCAAGUCUACGAUCAGUAGCUGAUGUGAGAGCAUGAUCAGCAAAACGGGCAAUGAAACACGGGCCCGACUCCUACGAAAGGCAGCAGAAAGGAAUAUUGGACAAUGGACUCAAGUCUGAUCAGCCAUGCCGCGUGAAGGAUUAAGGUCCUCUGGAUUGUAAACUUCUUUUAUAAGGGACGAAAAAAGGUCUUUCUAGAUCGUCUGACGGUACCUUAUGAAUAAGCACCGGCUAACUCCGUGCCAGCAGCCGCCGUAAGAC
rnacentral:rRNA from 1 species